rnacentral:rRNA from 1 species
AGAGUUUGAUCAUGGCUCAGAUUGAACGCUGGCGGUAGGCUUAACACAUGCAAGUCGUGCGAGAAAGUAUCUUCGGAUAUGAGUAGAGCGGCGGACGGGUGAGUAACGCGUAGGAAUCUACCUAGUAGAAGGGGAUAGCCCGGGGAAACUCGGAUUAAUACCGUAUACCUCCUUUGGGAGAAAGAAGGCCUCUCUUUGAAGCUUUCGCUACUAGAUGAGCCUGCGUAAGAUUAGCUUGUUGGUGAGGUAAAGGCUCACCAAGGCAACGAUCUUUAGCGGGUCUGAGAGGACGAUCCGCCACAUUGGGACUGAGACACGGCCCAGACUCCUACGGGAGGCAGCAGUGGGGAAUAUUGGACAAUGGGCGCAAGCCUGAUCCAGCCAUACCGCGUGUGUGAAGAAGGCCCUAGGGUUGUAAAGCACUUUAAGUUGGGAAGAAAAGUUAUUGGUUAAUACCCAAUAACCGUGACAUUACCUUCAGAAUAAGGACCGGCUAAUUCCGUGCCAGCAGCCGCGGUAAUACGGAAGGUCCAAGCGUUAAUCGGAAUUACUGGGCGUAAAGCGCGCGUAGGUGGUUUAUUAAGUUGGAUGUGAAAUCCCCGGGCUCAACCUGGGAACUGCAUCCAAAACUGAUUCACUAGAGUACGAUAGAGGGAGGUAGAAUUCACAGUGUAGCGGUGGAAUGCGUAGAUAUUGUGAAGAAUACCAAUGGCGAAGGCAGCCUCCUGGAUCUGUACUGACACUAAGGUGCGAAAGCGUGGGUAGCGAACAGGAUUAGAUACCCUGGUAGUCCACGCCGUAAACGAUGUCAACUAGCUGUUGGGAAACAAUGUUUUUCAGUGGCGCAGCUAACGUAGUAAGUUGACCGCCUGGGGAGUACGGCCGCAAGGCUAAAACUCAAAUGAAUUGACGGGGACCCGCACAAGCGG